GGAGCUUUAGACUAAAAAAUCCCCUCCCUUGUUCUUAACACCAAUGAUUUAAGUAUUUUAUGGCAAAGAAGCCUUUGAAGAUCCAGCACCUCUGCCCCUUCAAUGAAGUAAUUCCAGUAUUCUGAGAUAUAGUUGUUAUGAAAGAUGCCAAACACAAUAAAAUCAGUAUGAAAAGUUCAAGAGGAGAGACAUACAAGGCAAAACAAAUGAUCUCCGGUCCUAUUCACAAUUAGUAGGGUUGACAACGAACAGUGAAAAAACUAAAACUUGGGAAUCAACACGCAACAAGAAACAUCCAUAACCUUUUCUGGAGCUGAUGUAGAAGAACUCUGACAUUUCACAUAUCUUAGCAGCAUUGUAAGUGGAACAGAGGAUCAUGAAAGCCAGACAUGCCUUCAUAACAAUCUGAAGAAACAGAACUCUUGCCCUACAAGCUAAACUUAGAAUAUUUAACACCAUUAUAGUUUCUUUACUGUAUAGUGCUGAAACUUGGAGACUUAAGAUCUGACUGUCUAAACUCCAAACUUUCAUAAACUGCCUGAGAAAAAUCUUCAGUAUCAGAUGACCAGAAAAAAGUUAUAAACAAAGAACUCUGGAGGAGGACAAAACAGAAACUGAUAAGAUAGGAAAUUACAGAAUGAAAAUGCGAUGGAUAGGACACACAUGGAGGAAAGACACAAAUAACAUAAGACAGGCGUUGGACAGGAACCCCCAGGUAAAAGGUGAUGAGGUAGACCAAUGACAACACAGAACCGCACAAUAGAAGCAACAUUGAAAGCUCUCAAAAUGACAUAGGAAGAAGCUAAGGCUGCAGCAA